rnacentral:lncRNA from 1 species
GUUAACAAAGCUGGUUAUUUUGCACCUUACCUGAAAAAGUUAGGGUAUUUGAUCUUCAUAGUAUUAUUUCUCUAUAGUUAAUCACAUAUAUUAGAAAGCCCUAAAGUUAACAAAUCUUUUUUUUUUUCUAGUGGUGCUAUAGAAGGGUAUAACAAGUUGAGUGGUGUCAGAAAGGCGAGAAAGCCAACAUGGGAGAUUCCCUCAGUAAGUUAAAAAUUAUAUUCAUACAAUAUUAUAACUUAUAUAUAUAUAUAUAUAUAUAUGCUAUUUACUCAAUAUAAUUUCAUAUUUAUGACAACUGUAGUGCCAAAGACAACCUUUCAAUUAUGAGUGUGGCUACUUUAUAAUGAUACAUAUGAUGAACAUUGUAUCAGCUGGCAUUACGACUCAUGAAAUAUGGUGUGUAACUAAAUAUUACAACCAUUUGUGUUUCUUAAUGUUUUUUAAAGUUAAUUUCAUAUUCUAAUAUGAUAUCUUAACUUUUUUUUUUUUCCAG